rnacentral:rRNA from 1 species
AAGCGAGGCUGUGAAGCGGAGCAAAUCUCAAAAACCGGUACCCAGUUCGGAUUGUAGGCUGCAACUCGCCUACAUGAAGUCGGAGUUGCUAGUAAUCGCGGAUCAGAAUGCCGCGGUGAAUGCGUUCCCGGGUCUUGUACACACCGCCCGUCACACCAUGGAAGUUGGGGCGCCCGAAGUUGCCUAAGAAAUAAGGUACCUAAGGCGAAACCAAUGACUGGGGUGAAGUCGUAACAAGGUAGC